UUUCCAGGCAAAUCCGGAAAAUCAAGGCUGAGGCGUGAUGACGAGGCACUACGGUGCUGAAGCAACAAAUGCCCUGCUUCCAGGAAAAGCCUCUAAGCAUCAGGUAACAUCAAAUCGUACCCCAAACCGACACAGGUGGUCAGGUAGAGAAUACCAAGGCGCUUGAGAGAACUCGGGUGAAGGAACUAGGCAAAAUGGUGCCGUAACUUCGGGAGAAGGCACGCUGAUGGUAGGUGAAGCGACUUGCUCGUGGAGCUGAAAUCAGUCGAAGAUACCAGCUGGCUGCAACUGUUUAUUAAAAACACAGCACUGUGCAAACACGAAAGUGGACGUAUACGGUGUGACGCCUGCCCGGUGCCGGAAGGUUAAUUGAUGGGGUCAGCGCAAGCGAAGCUCUUGAUCGAAGCCCCGGUAAACGGCGGCCGUAACUAUAACGGUCCUAAGGUAGCGAAAUUCCUUGUCGGGUAAGUUCCGACCUGCACGAAUGGCGUAAUGAUGGCCAGGCUGUCUCCACCCGAGACUCAGUGAAAUUGAACUCGCUGUGAAGAUGCAGUGUACCCGCGGCAAGACGGAAAGACCCCGUGAACCUUUACUAUAGCUUGACACUGAACACUGGUCCUUGAUGUGUAGGAUAGGUGGGAGGCUUUGAAGUGUGGACGCCAGUCUGCAUGGAGCCGUCCUUGAAAUACCACCCUUUAAUGGCUGGUGUUCUAACGUUGGCCCGUAAUCCGGGUUGCGGACAGUGUCUGGUGGGUAGUUUGACUGGGGCGGUCUCCUCCUAAAGAGUAACGGAGGAGCACGAAGGUUGGCUAAUCCUGGUCGGACAUCAGGAGGUUAGUGCAAUGGCAUAAGCCAGCUUGACUGCGAGCGUGACGGCGCGAGCAGGUGCGAAAGCAGGUCAUAGUGAUCCGGUGGUUCUGAAUGGAAGGGCCAUCGCUCAACGGAUAAAAGGUACUCCGGGGAUAACAGGCUGAUACCGCCCAAGAGUUCAUAUCGACGGCGGUGUUUGGCACCUCGAUGUCGGCUCAUCACAUCCUGGGGCUGAAGUAGGUCCCAAGGGUAUGGCUGUUCGCCAUUUAAAGUGGUACGCGAGCUGGGUUUAGAACGUCGUGAGACAGUUCGGUCCCUAUCUGCCGUGGGCGCUGGAGAACUGAGGGGGGCUGCUCCUAGUACGAGAGGACCGGAGUGGACGCAUCACUGGUGUUCGGGUUGUCAUGCCAAUGGCACUGCCCGGUAGCUAAAUGCGGAAGAGAUAAGUGCUGAAAGCAUCUAAGCACGAAACUUGCCCCGAGAUGAGUUCUCCCUGAGACAUUAAGUCUCCUGAAGGAACGUUGAAGACGACGACGUUGAUAGGCCGGGUGUGUAAGCGCAGCGAUGCGUUGAGCUAACCGGUACUAAUGAACCGUGAGGCUUAACC
rnacentral:rRNA from 1 species